ACCUCAAUCUACAUACAUGACCACUGCUUUGUUUUACAAGUGGCCACAACCUAUACGUGUUGCUUCAAUGAGCUGACAGGAACUUGAACUUGGGGAAGAGAGAAAGCGGGAGAGACAGAGCGAGAGAGACGUCACUGACGACCGUGAUGUGCAAAGAUUAUAGAGGAGCUAUAAGAUCUUUGGUCCACACCAGCCGUCGCCGACAGCACACAAUGUGUACACAAGCGUGAGAAAGCGAUGGCACCCGCUGUGUAUGAAGCAGUGGGCUCCAAAAAGGACGGAGACUCGGUGGUGAAGAGAGCGGACAUUCGACAGGAGAACGGAUGGGAGCGGUGUCCUCCACGGGUUAGCCUUUAGCCUCGCCGUUAGCCCACCUCGACAGCCCCUCUUCUGUAGCGCCGCCUCUGUAUCGCCGCCUCCGUGUCCUUCUGUAGCGGCCAGUGUUUGUGAAUGUCUCCGCGGCUCUGCAGGCCGCUGGGUCCUCCCGACGCAGCAGUCCGAGACAGUGCAGGCGUCCCUCAAGUUCAACGUCCACGUAGUCUCUACUGCUUAACUGUUGUAAUUCCAGUAAUGACCCAUGAUCGUAUGUUAACUUGCAACCUGCCCGCUGCAAGUUAUGAAGCCGGAUUGUAGUAAACUUGUCGCUAUCGCUAUCGAGAGUCAAUGCUGCCGCAGCCAACCAGGGCACCGCCAUCAAGUAUUGUUAAAACAGCAGCAUGAACGGUAACACAGUAACCCCACCUUCUCAAUGAAAUGUCAUCGAUACCAAGGGCUGGGAAGAACACACGGCUUUCAAGGAAACUUCUCCAAGGACUUUGAAGCAGCUGCUUUCUGCAGUCAGUGGAUUCCUCUUCAAGCGGUUUGAUGGAGCAGAACAGGAAAGACCAUUUAUUGAAUUGGAGGAAGCAAGGGUUUAGAAACUAGCAAAAAUGCCAGGGGAAGAGGAGGAGAAAUUAUUUUUCACUAAGCAAAUUAUGACCGUUAUAUUCCCUUAAAAAGUGGUAAAAAAAUACUCAAUAAUAAUAUAUAUUUUUUAAAACAAUUCAAAGGCGCGUCAAAGAGCAAAGGGGGUAGCAUUAAGUAGAUAAAUCGUUCAGUGCUAGUACAAGCAGAAUUCUGUAAUUCCACAUGGUUCUUCAGAUUCUAUCAAGUAACAGUUUCCUCCCACAUCCCAAAGACGGGAAGGUUUGUAGGCUAUUUGGAUUGGUUAAAAUUGUAAUUUGUCCCUAAUGUGUAGGAUUGCGCUAGUGUUCGGGAUGGUUGCUGGCCGGCGCAGACUCAGUAGGAAGAAGGUUGCUAAAAGUGAUGGACGAAAUGGAUGUGCCAUUCUAUUACCAUGUUAACAAACAAGCACCAAUAUUCAACAGUGACUCAAUUCAACCUCAAGCAAUGCUUCCUCUGCAGAACCUCUCCUGAGUUCAUCAUCUCAAGUUAGCCAGUUUGUGAAACAGAGCCAACUGUCUUUUCUUUGGAUUUGGAUCCAGCAGUUGUCAUACUGUGCAUUCUGCUGCUCCAUUUGAAAUGGAAUGGUAUGGAGCGACUAGUGUGUUUUACACCAUUCCCUUUCAUGAAUUGUGCAAACUCUUGUGAACAGAAUUGAGGUCCGUUACCAGACACAAUUUCCUCUGGAAAUCCAUAGGACGCAAACAGUCCUCGCAAAAUGUCUAUCAUUUUGCUGGAUGUCGUUUUGUUCAUUAGAAACAUCUUAACCCACUUGGAGUGACUAUCAAUCACAAUGAACAAUUGU